GACGAACGCUGGCGGCGUGCUUAACACAUGCAAGUCGAACGAUGAAGGAGGAGCUUGCUCCUCUGGAUUAGUGGCGAACGGGUGAGUAACACGUGAGCAAUCUGCCCUUGACUCUGGGAUAAGCGCUGGAAACGGCGUCUAAUACCGGAUACGACCCUCGGAGGCAUCUCCUGUGGGUGGACAUAACUUCGGUCAAGGAUGAGCCUACGUCGGAUUAGCUAGUUGGUAGGGUAAUGGCCUACCAAGGCAACAAUCCGUAGCUGGUCUGAGAGGACGAUCAGCCACACUGGAACUGAGACACGGUCCAGACUCCUACGGGAGGCAGCAGUGGGGAAUAUUGGACAAUGGGGGAAACUCUGAUGCAGCGACGCCGCGUGAGUGAUGAAGGCCUUCGGGUCGUAAAGCUCUGUCGCAGGGGAAUAACACAAUGAAUGUACCCUGUAAGAAAGGAUCGGCUAACUUCGUGCCAGCCGCCGCUGUAAUAC
rnacentral:rRNA from 1 species